rnacentral:rRNA from 1 species
GAUGAACGCUGGCGGCGUGCCUAAUACAUGCAAGUCGAGCGAAGAGACGAGGAGCUUGCUCCUCUGACGUUAGCGGCGGACGGGUGAGUAACACGUGGAUAACCUCCCUAUCAGACUGGGAUAACUUCGGGAAACCGGAGCUAAUACCGGAUAAUAUAUUGAACCUCAUGGUUCAAUAGUGAAAGACGGUUUUGCUUUCACUUAUAGAUGGAUCCGCGCCGCAUUAGCUAGUUGGUAAGGUAACGGCUUACCAAGGCAGCGAUGCGUAGCCGCCCUGAGAGGGGGAUCGGCGACACUGGAACUGAGACACGGUCCAGACUCCUACGGGAGGCAGCAGUAGGGAAUCUUCCGCAAUGGGCGAAAGCCUGACGGAGCAACGCCGCGGGAGUGAUGAUGGUCUUCGGAUCGUAAAACUCUGUUAUUAGGGAAGAACAAAUGUGUAAGUAACUAUGCACGUCUUGACGGUACCUAAUCAGAAAGCCACGGCUAACUACGUG